rfam:Halodesulfurarchaeum formicicum strain HSR6 chromosome, complete genome.
GCAGGGGUAGCCGAGUCAGGCCAAAGGCGCAGCGUUCAGGGCGCUGUCCCGUAGGGGUUCGCAGGUUCAAAUCCUGCUCCCUGCA